AAGAUCCGAACCAACUCAACCCCAAUAGCAAUUCUUCCCACCGAACUUCCAUUCAUUCCCGGGCUUCUCCCCCCCAAAAAACCUGAUUUUCAUCACAUCAUCUUCUUCGUCUCUCUCUCUCUCUAUCUGAAAACCUAGUACCAGAAACCUGUAAAAAUUUCAGUUCAAAGCGCCUUCAGCUAAGGAAAGUUCUCUUUCACUUUCGCGCUCUCGGCCUUGCUCUUUUUUGCCGCCAUUGUAAUUCUCAGAACUAUCAACACCACCCAUACCUGCCUCUUUUUCGUUUCGUCUCGCUCCGACCUUCAACGAUAUCGUUUCCCUCCACUAUCCCUAUUUCACUCCCUUAAAAACGUCGUCGUUUUGUUCCCGCGGGUUUCUUAGUAUGCAGCCUUGCUGUUUGAUGAAAGUCCGGUACCUAUGAAUGCUCAUGGCGAAGACGAUGACGAUAACAGCGACGCUUAUAUUGAUGAUAGGAAUGGAAGGUUGAGCGUAAGGUGGGAGAGAUGUGAAGGAUCGACGGCCCAUGGGUGUUUUACUGUGUUUGGAUGAAAUGUCGGCAAUCAAUAGGCUAAAAAUGAGAAGAAACAUGGAGCAUCGAGAGGAGUACUGCUCGAAGUCGAGUCCCAGGUGCUUGGUGCCUUUGCCUUUCCGUGUCCUAUGGCGACACUGAUGCUUAUUAGGAAUUCGGUCAAUACCAGAGUCGUGUGAUGGACUGCAGUAAAGAUACAACACACCUCAAACAGUUUGUGGAUAAAGACUCGAGCCUAUCAGUUUUUGGCAGGACUCUGUUAGGACUCGACCUUUACAUGUCGCAUCGAAUGGAGGAAGAAGAUGAACAUGCGGCUCAGUUCACCACGUAAAGAAAAAAUGGUUCAGAAGAUGAAUGGUCAGCUCGAUUCAUUGAAGAGGAAGAAACGGUUCAAUGGUUCAACACUCCGGUUUUUGGGGUUCUAGUUAUCACCUUCAUGAUCGUGAAAGGCGUCCUUCAGUCUCCUCAUAUGCUAUCACAUGGCCUGAAUGAUUUUUGGGCGGGAAAACACCUGGUUUUGAUCCUGUGUGGUUAGUUCCAUUUUCCUCUUUCUGCUUCCUGUUUUUUGGUUCCUUGUGGUCGAUUUCACUAUCUUUUCCAUUCACUCGUCGUGAUUUCCUGUUUUCUUGCUCAUUUUUGGUUGUUUAUAACGGGUU